UACGGAGGAUGCGAGCGUUAUCCGGAAUCAUUGGGUUUAAAGGGUCCGUAGGCGGGCUAAUAAGUCAGGGGUGAAAGCGCUUAGCUCAACUAAGCAACUGCCUUUGAAACUGUUAGUCUUGAAUAGUUGUGAAGUAGUUGGAAUGUGUAGUGUAGCGGUGAAAUGCUUAGAUAUUACACAGAACACCGAUAGCGAAGGCAUAUUACUAACAAUUAAUUGACGCUGAUGGACGAAAGCGUGGGGAGCGAACAGG
rnacentral:rRNA from 1 species